rnacentral:tRNA from 1 species
AGCAAAGUCAGCUAACAAAGCUUUUGGGCCCAUACCCCAAGAACGUGGGUUAAACCCCCACCUUUGCUA